rnacentral:rRNA from 1 species
AAAACAUGCCUACGGGAGGCAGCAAUAGGGAAUAUUGGGCAAUGGGCGCAAGCCUGACCCAGCCAUGCCGCGUGCAGGAUGAAGGCGCUCAGCGUUGUAAACUGCUUUUAUCUGGGAAGAACUGUAGUCCUGCGGGAUUGCUUGACGGUACCAGAGGAAUAAGCACCGGCUAACUCCGUGCCAGCAGCCGCGGUAAUACGGAGGGUGCAAGCGUUGUCCGGAUUUAUUGGGUUUAAAGGGUGCGUAGGUGGUUUAGUAAGUCUGGUUUGAAAGCUGGUCGCUUAACGAUCAGAUGUGGCUGGAAACUGGUAAACUUGAAUGCGUUGGCGGUAGCCGGAAC